CGAAUGAUGACUUUGUUCAAACUGCAGUCUCUGAUACUUGAUGAACCAAUUUCUCUGAAG
rnacentral:snoRNA from 1 species